rnacentral:rRNA from 1 species
AUUGAACGCUGGCGGCAUGCUUUACACAUGCAAGUCGGACGGUAACAGGCCGCAAGGUGCUGACGAGUGGCGAACGGGUGAGUAAUGCAUCGGAACGUGCCCAGUCUUGGGGGAUAACUACUCGAAAGAGUAGCUAAUACCGCAUACGAUCUAUGGAUGAAAGCGGGGGACCGUAAGGCCUCGCGCGAUUGGAGCGGCCGAUGUCAGAUUAGGUAGUUGGUGGGGUAAAGGCUCACCAAGCCAACGAUCUGUAGCUGGUCUGAGAGGACAACCAGCCACACUGGGACUGAGACACGGCCCAGACUCCUACGGGAGGCAGCAGUGGGGAAUGUUGGACAAUGGGCGCAAGCCUGAUCCAGCAAUGCCGCGUGCAGGAAGAAGGCCUUCGGGUUGUAAACUGCUUUUGUACGGAACGAAACGGCUCUGGUUAAUACCCGGGGCUAAUGACGGUACCGUAAGAAUAAGCACCGGCUAACUACGUG